GACCCAUUAGCUCAGUUGGCAGAGCACCUGACUUUUAAUCAGGGUGUCCCGCGUUCGAGUCGCGGAUGGGUCA
rnacentral:tRNA from 2 species